CGCCCCCUGUCCACGUGCUCACAUCUGGCCAAUCACGUUUCCACGCCCCCUUGUUCACGUGCCCAUCCUACAGGUGAAGCUACUGCGGCACAGAGAGGGCGAGUGACUUCUUCCUUGGAGGGUGCACAGCAGUAAAAGGACGGAGCAGGACAUGAACCUCCGCCGCCCAGAGCCUCUGUCUCCUUGACCUGUGACCUCUUGAGAGGAAGAGAAAAGGAGAGAAAGAAACAUCAAUAUUGAGAAUCACUGAUCUGCUGCCUCCUGCAUGCCCCCUACUGGGGAUGGAGCCUGCAACCCAGGAUUCUUCCAUUCUUAUACUUAAUGACCAUGUCAUCUUGCAAGAUUCAUCCUGAAAAUGUUGACUUAGAAAAGACCCUUUGUCUGGACUACGUUGGCCUCUGCUGUCUUCAUGGCUCGCUCCUAAUC